GUGACUUUAAAGCAUUUCGGAACAGCAGAAUAUUUGUGAUGGUUGAUCUUUUAAAACAUGUUGGAAACAGAAUAUUUGUGAUGGUUGAUCUUUUAUGUAAACUUGGCGAAGCCAGGGUACUAAGAUAUUUAGUAAAAGAUAUCUGGAGUUUCUUAUAAGGUAUUAUUUAUUUAUUUUUAUUUAUUUAUUUAUUUUUGGUGAGAUCAACAUUUAAAUCAGUAGAUUUUGAGUAAAGGGGAUUACAGUCCAUAAUGUGGAGUCUCCUCUAGUCAGCUGAAGGGCUUGGGAAGAAGAUUGCCCUUUUCUGAGAAGAGGGGAUUCUGCCAGCAGACCCCUUCACCUUGAGCGGCAACAUCAGCAAUCCUGAGGUCUCUGCCUGCUGGUGUAUCCUGCAGAUUUUGUACUUGCAGUCUUCACCAUCAUGUGAGCCAACUCCUUAAAAUUGAAUCAAGGUCUUUGUGCAUUCACUACAUUCUUUGCUGGCCAGUGGUUUCACAUCUAGGAAACUUCAAAAUUACUGAGCAACAGAAGGGAGAAAAUGGAAAUUGAGAAACAAGAAACUUGCUGGCAUUUAUUCUGGAGGAAGAAUAAAAACGAGGAGGAUUUGCAGGUCUAGAAGCUGAAAUGCUCAAGAUUAAGACAUCAGUGGAUUCCAGAUCUGUUGAGGACCCUUUCCCUGGUUGAAAGACAGCCACCUUUAUGAUAUAUCUUCACAGACUGGAGAGAGAACAUGGACCUUUUUAUUGCUUAAAUACAUUAUUGUGGGGACACUGAGGACUUGCAGGUUGGAAUUACCAACAGUUGUGUAGCAGGUUGAGAUAUCCUAAAUAUUUUCACUUCAGGAAAAUUUCCACUGGAGGAGAAGAGUUUCUACCACCACACAAAGAGGAGCACGCCAUUCUGUAGCAGGAAGGUGUUUCUGGUGCUCUAAGUAUUUUGUUUUUCAUCCUACCAUGCUGCCUUCUCUGACACAAACCUUUCCCAGAGAAAAGCCUCCCAUGUCCUUCUCCAUGGAGCAAAGCAAGGGGUCUCCUCUUAAAAACCAGCGUGGAGAACCACAAAGGAAACAAGGCAGAGGCCAAGCGAGGUAAAAGUAAACAAACAGCCUUCCAGCUGGACACACAUUG